AAGACAGGAUGUAGAGUUACAAAACUGUCUUGCUUUCAACCAUCUAGUCUUUUCCAACUUACUGUCUUUUUUACCCUGGGGCAGAUAUAAUACAGUGAUUCCAGAAACUCUAUUCAAUAAAUGUAUGUGUAUAUUUCUUGAUUAAUGCUUAUCUGCCUACUGCCUAAGAGACAGAAAGAUCAGUACAAGGUAGUUUCCACUGUGAAUUUACUCAGAUUCCAUACAAAAGAGAAGAUGCUUUAAAAAAAAUAAUAAUAAUAGUGGGACAAUAUCAAAGCUAAAACACAGGAAAGAAGGAAGGGAACGCACUUCUGAAGGCCUCCUCAACUGUUCAAAUAAAUAUGAUCCACCAGGCUGUGACCAGGGAUAUGUAGGCUGCUAUUACACUAUGAAGGCACACUGUAACUAAUAGAAGUCUUUAUGAGUAUGAUACUUUCAAAAUUCCAACUGAAAGAAUAUGUGAGUUGUAUAAAGUUAAUCUAAAAAGGAAUUUUGAGUAGUGAUGAAAGGGAUGCUGAACAGGAUGCACUAGUAAAUUAUGCAGAAAUCCACCUGUACAAACUAUUCAAAGGGGAAGUACUCAUACAAAUCAGAAAAAAAAAUGCUUUUUGAGAAUGAAAAGAAUUAGAAGUAGUUCAGAGUCAGGAAGAUAACCUGAGUAAAUCAAAGGAUUGGGGCCUGAAAUAAAGUACAAUUAAAUAGGUCUGAGAGACAAUAACUGACAACAUGCAUAUAUAUGCACAUAAACUGUGAGAGGGUAGGAAACAGCAAAAGCUAUGGUAAACAUGGAAAGGCCAGGAAACAACUUUGUGGAGUUGCUCUUUCCUUCCAUGUUUAUGUGGAGUCUAGGCAGAGUCUUCAGGUCAAGUUUUAUAUAGUGAGCACCUUUACCCACUAAGCCAUCUCCCCAGGCCAAAAAAUUGACAGUUCUAAAGGAAGUAACAAGAAAUAACUAGGAGAUACAAGAGUAAGAAUUUUGUUUUUAUCGGUACUGUUUUGUACUAUAUAAUGACUUAGAGGUACCAGGAUGAUGUCCUGGAAACACGGGUCUGAUAUGAUAUGAGAUAUGAGACCCACAAAAUAUGAGGCAAGAGAAAAAACUUUGGGUUGAACAGGAAGUUCAGAGGAGUACUUCUAAGUACAAUCAGGAGAGUAUCCAUACAAGGUGUCUAUGAGUUGGGAUGGAAAAGUGAGCCUUUCAGGAAGCUGUAGCCCAACUCUGCAAGGCUCUCAAGGGUUAAAAACAAGACUUCUUUACUGUGGCAAAUGGAGACUACUAGUAUUAUUGCAAGUACAUUUUCAGUGAAAUAUUCCUGGAUUAGCAGCCUUUACAUAGUGAAAUGCAGUACAUACAUGCACUCAAAUAUUCUUACAACUGUUACCAAAGUCAAUUUUCUUAUUUGAAAGUAGAAGAGGGGAAAAAAAAAGGGCCUCUGUCUAUAUUGUGUAAACAUUUUUCCUACCAAACACCAGGAACUGUUUUACACUCUAAAGAUGAAAGAAGCAGCAAAUGGAAGUUACUAUUAUUAUUAUUAUUAUUAUUAUUUUAUUCUGGGAAGGGUAGAAAGGAUUAAAAUAGACCCUGGGAUAAGCAGUUAAAGAAUGAACAUCUUAAAGAGUAGCCUCAGUAAAACACUUCUUUCUCUAGGGUAUGUGGAUUCUUGAGAAAAAAAUUCUUUAAAAGAGGUUGAUUUCAGCAAUAGCCACCUUAUGGAAACACGGAGUAAUGCUGCCUAGUUGAUGCAUUUGCCACAUGUUAAUGUGAACAAGUUCUCUGAAGGCUCAUUUAUAGGUUUCUUUUGAUAUAUACAUUCCUACACAGGAUGUAUUUCCAAAUAAAGGUAAGGUUAUUGCAAAUGAAUUUGAUCACACAAUUAACUAUAGACCACGAUAUGUACACUCAAUUUGUUUGCUGCAGCUGCCAAGUUUCCAGAGAAGUUUUGCUGCAGGCUGUGCUUUUAUGCCAUAAGUUUGAAAUGUUCUACACUACUAAAAGGUAUUUUUUAACUCGUAAGUAUUGUUCCAUGACAAUCUAGUAAAGCAAUCAUGAAAAGGCAGCCAUAUUAAUGUGGUAACAUGCCGAGAAAAACUGAUUAGGAAGCAAGUGAGAGUUUUUUUUUUUACCUCUGAAAACUUUUUAGGAUUUUUUUUUCACUUUCUUUUAAAUAUAUUGAUGUUACUUCUGUUUGAUAAUCUAUAUUAUCAUUUGAAAACUUUCACACAGAUAUAGUAUCACAACUACUUCAAUACUGUAGUGACAAUAAACUGAAGAACACAAAUCUCUUCAUGAAUUUAUUUUAUAAAAUAUACCCACUUAAUUUGUCUUCUUAUCACUUUCAUAAUACAUAAGAAGCACAGUGGACAAGAUGCCCAUUAAGAUGACUAUAGUCACAUUUAGGGGGUCCUAUAAUCAAGGUAGCAUACAUACCACAACAGUGUUCUAAAGGCUAGC
rnacentral:lncRNA from 1 species